CUUUCCUGAGAUGACUACUGAUGGUCUGUUGUUGUUCUUGAUGGUUGUUAGGGGUGGAGAGGUCGCAUGUAGUCAUAGCAGCGUGUGUUUGGAGAUAAGCCACAAAAAGUAUACUUGAUGGACUAGCCAUGGGACAGGAGUUAUUGUAUUGUCGGGUCUACAGAGAUGGAGACCACCUAAGACCUUUUACCAGCCGUAAAUUGCACGGGACGGAGGUGUGGAGAGAUGCCAGGCGCCGUGUGCAGACGUGGGGUAAAACUGUCAGCAGUGCUCGGGAGUUACACAUUAGCCUCAUCCUUCUGGUCGCACCAACAGCAGGGUCUCUGCUCCAGCCCACCUGUAGAGGGCGCACUCAUUAGGGGAGGAAAUAAGAUAUCGUGACAACUUACAAUGAGCCAUGCCAUCCACACUUUAGUCCUUUGUCAUCACAAACAGUCUGUGUGGCACUGGCUUGUCGGCAUAACGAUAGAAAGAAGACCCUCUUGCAGAUUUGGGUUCUUGACUGUGAUGCCAUAUCGCUUACUGUGAAUUAACAGAUCACAGAUCUGCCACGCAAAAGCCUCCCUAUUUUUUAUUUUCUCAUAUUUGUUUUAUUUUGUUGUUUUAAUCAAGUACAUUUAUUAGUGGGGAGAAAAUUUCAGUGUAUAUUUGGAAUAUAUUCUCAUGUUUUUGAACAUUGCAUCGUUUGCAUCCAGGCUGCACCUUAUCUCACUAAGCUUCUGGUUCAAAAGCGAGUCAGACAAUGUUGUAAUUCUGUCUUUAUCUUUGCUGGUUCUUAUAUAGUUUCUAAUCAUUACAGUGUAUAUGUGACGUUUCGCUAUUAAUGUAGAUCCUGGGUACUCAUAUUUCUCAAAGAAUGCAGGGCUCUUCACGAAUACAUCAUCUCUAAUGACAGAAACCCAUAUCUUAAAUUGAUACUAUCAUGGAUUUUUUACCGCAGGUAUCUUGAUGCUUCAAGAACUUCAAUUUAUGAAUUUCACCUCACUGUGAGUCAUUUGUUACGGACUAUCAUUUCAUUUGGAGUCAUUUCCAUCGCCUGCCUUUCCGUUCCGAGGAAGUCAUUGUCCAUCUUCGACAACGUAGCACUUUAAUCCUAAGGAGGAAAAAAAAACGUAUAAAAAUCCAUCAAUGUUGGCUUCUUUGUUGUGAUUUACCCAAGCCAAUUAAAAAAAAAAAAAAGAAGUCAACAUAAACAUUUAACAAUGCUUGUGAAAAGACGUUCACGAGAAAUCAUAAAUCAGCUCUCAGUUUUCUGCCACUCAGUAGCAGUUUAGCAGCCAUUUGUUUCUCAUUCUCUCGAGCCUGUGAAAGCGAUUCCUUUUUUCUUUCUUACAGCGACGUACCUCCAAUAUGUCAAGGUAAUUACGGGAGAGAACAGAUUGUACUAAGGUUCUUUUGUUCCACUGAAUGUCUUUCUCUUCUUCUUUUUUUCUGUAGAUAUUUCCUGUAUUGUGUGAUAUGUAUUGCCACACUUAAUGAAUAUUUGAUGUUCCAUAAUGAGCGUACAUACUGUGCGGGUAUACUGGAAAAUGACAGCUUUAGGUGGCAGAGGUUGAAUGACAGCCAAACUUUAUCAUCGGUCCAUGUGGUCAUACUUUUUAUCUGGAGAUUUGCUAGGGG
ensembl:lncRNA